rnacentral:rRNA from 1 species
AUUGAACGCUGGCGGCAUGCUUUACACAUGCAAGUCGAACGGUAACAGGUUAAGCUGACGAGUGGCGAACGGGUGAGUAAUGCAUCGGAACGUGCCCGAUCGUGGGGGAUAACACUUCGAAAGAAGUGCUAAUACCGCAUACGAUCUGAGGAUGAAAGCGGGGGACCGUAAGGCCUCGCGCGAUCGGAGCGGCCGAUGUCAGAUUAGGUAGUUGGUGGGGUAAAGGCUCACCAAGCCGACGAUCUGUAGCUGGUCUGAGAGGACGACCAGCCACACUGGGACUGAGACAGGGCCCAGACUCCUACGGGAGGCAGCAGUGGGGAAUUUUGGACAAUGGGCGCAAGCCUGAUCCAGCAAUGCCGCGUGAAGGAAGAAGGCCUUCGGGUUGUAAACUGCUUUUGUACGGAGCGAAAAGGCUCCCUCUAAUACAGGGGGCUCAUGACGGUACCGUAAGAAUAAGCACCGGCUAACUACGUGCCAGCAGCCGCCGUAA